rnacentral:rRNA from 1 species
GAGGUAACGGCUCACCAAGGCAACGAUGCGUAGCCGACCUGAGAGGGUGAUCGGCCACAUUGGAACUGAGACACGGUCCAGACUCCUACGGGAGGCAGCAGUGGGGAAUAUUGCGCAAUGGGGGAAACCCUGACGCAGCAACGCCGCGUGAGUGAUGAAGGUUUUCGGAUCGUAAAACUCUGUCAUUAGGGACGAUAAUGACGGUACCUAAUGAGGAAGCCACGGCUAACUAC